rnacentral:pre_miRNA from 1 species
AUGGUAUCGUGAGAUGAAAUCAGCGUUUGGACAUGCGAUUUUACGCUGAUUUCAUCUCAUGAUUCCAUAU